GACGAACGCUGGCGGCGUGCUUAACACAUGCAAGUCGAACGGAAAGGCCCUGCUUUUGUGGGGUGCUCGAGUGGCGAACGGGUGAGUAACACGUGAGUAACCUGCCCUUGACUUUGGGAUAACUUCAGGAAACUGGGGCUAAUACCGGAUAGGAGCUCCUGCUGCAUGGUGGGGGUUGGAAAGUUUCGGCGGUUGGGGAUGGACUCGCGGCUUAUCAGCUUGUUGGUGGGGUAGUGGCUUACCAAGGCUUUGACGGGUAGCCGGCCUGAGAGGGUGACCGGCCACAUUGGGACUGGGGUACGGCCCCGGCUCCUACGGGGGGCCAGCGUGGGGAAUAUUGCACCAUGGGCGGAAGCCUGAUGCAGCAACCCCGGGUGCGGGGAGAAGGCCUUUGGGUUGUAAACCGCUUUCGCCUGUGGAAAAGGCGGGGUGACGGUAAUGGGUAAAAGAGGCCCGGCCAACUACCUG
rnacentral:rRNA from 1 species